rnacentral:rRNA from 1 species
GAUGAACGCUAGCUACAGGCUUAACACAUGCAAGUCGAGGGACCGGCGCACGGGUGAGUAACACGUAUCCAACCUGCCCUUUACUCGGGGAUAGCCUUUCGAAAGAAAGAUUAAUACCCGCUAUAAAGGAUGGGGAUGCGUUCCAUUAGGUUGUUGGUGAGGUAACGGCUCACCAAGCCUUCGCUGGAUAGGGGUUCUGAGAGGAAGGACACCCGCAUUGGAACUGGGACACGGUCCAAACUCCUACGAGAGGCAGCAGUGAGGAAGAUAGGUGAAGGAGCGCUAGCCUGAACCAGCCAAGUAGCGUGAAGGAUGAAGGGUUAUGGGUCGUAAACUUCUUGUAUAUAAGAAUAUGUAUUAAAUGAAUAAGGAUCGGCUAACUCCGUGCCAGCAGCCGCGGUAAUUC